CGACUGCAAAAAUGCCAAAUAGCCACUGUCAAACAUAUAUAGCAUGUCAUUGUCACCUAAUUAAAUAACAUAAGGGUUAACUUAAUUGGCAUGUUGUUUCUAAUAUUUCAAAUAAUAGAAAAAUACAACAACUAUAUAAAUCUAGCUAUAUCUGUAGAAACAGCACGUGAAAAGAAUGUGAUUAUGGAAUUAGCUAAUCUCGAUAUAAUAAUGAUUUAAGCAUGACAUAGGUCCUGUCCUUACGAGGGGGCCUGAAUCUGAGUAACUCGGCGUCGGGCCCUGACUAUAUACCCUAUGCGUAACUCUCGUAAAUACCUACCUUCUGGAUAAUUCUUUGAAAGGUUCGAUGCAUGCAAUUACUCAUAGCAUACGACUACAACAGGAUCUUUAAUUGGAUCAUAAUUGUCAUCAUGACAGAGACGAACAAGGUUAUAUACCUUGAUUCCAAGCCUACCAGUUUGUAGAAAAUCCACAACUUCAUUGACAAGUAAUAACUCCACAAAAUUCAUCUUCUUGCAUCAGUCACUUGUGGUGGGAAAUGCAAGCAAGAAAGAAAGAAGAAAAAAGAUUUUGCAGCAGCACUUUGACUCUAAGGUAUUCCAAUUUUCUUAUCCUUUUCUCUUAUCAAACUUACAACAAAUCCAUUUGCUGUUAUUUAUACUUUAGCCAGCAACCAGAAAAUUCCAUGAUUUGUGGGUAUUAUGUUGCCCACAACAUGAUCAAACUCGUCCCGUCUUGAAAGGGCCGAGCCCUGACUGGUUGAGUAAGAUGUAACUGUGCUGAAAUUUGUAGAUAUAUGUCCUACUUAUGAACUCAAACUUCCACACUUGUUCAAGCAUGUGAAUGAAUGUUUUGAUGAAUGGAGGUUAUUUGUAUA